rnacentral:miRNA from 1 species
UACACUUGUCCUUCUUUCCCCAG